rnacentral:rRNA from 1 species
GCGAACGGGUGAGUAACACGUGGGCAAUCUGCCCUGCACUCUGGGACAAGCCCUGGAAACGGGGUCUAAUACCGGAUACUGACCACUGGGGGCAUCUUCAGUGGUCGAAAGCUCCGGCGGUGCAGGAUGAGCCCGCGGCCUAUCAGCUUGUUGGUGAGGUAGUGGCUCACCAAGGCGACGACGGGUAGCCGGCCUGAGAGGGCGACCGGCCACACUGGGACUGAGACACGGCCCAGACUCCUACGGGAGGCAGCAGUGGGGAAUAUUGCACAAUGGGCGAAAGCCUGAUGCAGCGACGCCGCGUGAGGGAUGACGGCCUUCGGGUUGUAAACCUCUUUCAGCAGGGAAGAAGCGAAAGUGACGGUACCUGCAGAAGAAGCGCCGGCUAACUACGUGCCAGCAGCCGCGGUAAUACGUAGGGCGCGAGCGUUGUCCGGAAUUAUUGGGCGUAAAGAGCUCGUAGGCGGCUUGUCACGUCGGUUGUGAAAGCCCGGGGCUUAACCCCGGGUCUGCAGUCGAUACGGGCAGGCUAGAGUUCGGUAGGGGAGAUCGGAAUUCCUGGUGUAGCGGUGAAAUGCGCAGAUAUCAGGAGGAACACCGGUGGCGAAGGCGGAUCUCUGGGCCGAUACUGACGCUGAGGAGCGAAAGCGUGGGGAGCGAACAGGAUUAGAUACCCUGGUAGUCCA